GUGAGGAAUAUUGGUCAAUGGGCGGGAGCCUGAACCAGCCAAGUCGCGUGAGGGAAGACGGUCCUAAGGAUUGUAAACCUCUUUUGUCAGGGAGCAAGGACCGGUACGAGUACCGGGGCGAGAGUACCUGAAGAAAAAGCAUCGGCUAACUCCGUGCCAGCAGCCGCGGUAAUACGGAGGAUGCGAGCGUUAUCCGGAUUUAUUGGGUUUAAAGGGUGCGUAGGCGGGGACUUAAGUCAGCGGUAAAAUUGAGAGGCUCAACCUCUUCCCGCCGUUGAAACUGUCGGUCUUGAGUGGGCGAGAAGUAUGCGGAAUGCGUGGUGUAGCGGUGAAAUGCAUAGAUAUCACGCAGAACUCCGAUUGCGAAGGCAGCAUACCGGCGCCCAACUGACGCUGAGGCACGAAAGCGUGGGUAUCAAACAGGA
rnacentral:rRNA from 1 species